AACGAACGCUGGCGGCGCGCCUAAUACAUGCAAGUCGAGCGAGAAGGCGUAGCAAUACGUUUGUAAAGCGGCGAACGGGUGAGGAAUACAUGGGUAACCUACCCUCGAGUGGGGAAUAACUAGCCGAAAGGUUAGCUAAUACCGCGUACGCUCCUUGGACUUCGGUUCAGGGAGGAAAGCGAUACCGUGGGUAUCGCGCUCUUGGAUGGGCUCAUGUCCUAUCAGCUUGUUGGUGAGGUAACGGCUCACCAAGGCUUCGACGGGUAGCUGGUCUGGGAGGACAAUCAGCCACACUGGCACUGCGACACGGGCCAGACUCCUACGGGAGGCAGCAGUAAGGAAUAUUGCGCAAUGGGCGAAAGCCUGAACGCAGCGACGCCGCGUGGGGGAUGAAGGU
rnacentral:rRNA from 1 species